CUUAGCUCAGUGGAUUAGAGCGUCUGCCUCCGGAGCAGAAGGUCAAGGGUUCGAGUCCCUCAGA
rnacentral:tRNA from 1 species